rnacentral:rRNA from 1 species
AUUGAACGCUGGCGGCAGGCCUAACACAUGCAAGUCGAACGCGUGGCGGACGGGUGAGUCAUGUCUGGGAAACCGCCUGAUGGAGGGGGAUAACUACUGGACACGGUAGCUUCUCCCGCAUACCAUCAUAUGUGCCCAUCUGGGUUUAGCUUGUUGGUGGGGUAACGGCUCCCCUAGGCGACGAUCCCUAGCUGGUCUGAGAGGAUGACCAGCCACACUGGAACUGAGACACGGUCCAGACUCCGACGGGAGGCAGCAGUGGGGAAUAUUGCACAAUGGGCGAAAGCCUGAUGCAGCCAUGCCGCGUGUAUGAAGAAGGCCUUCGGGUUGUAAAGUACUUUCAGCGGGGAGGCGUUACCCGCAGAAGAAGCACCGGCUAACUCCGUGCCAGCAGCCGCGGUAAUUC